GGGGAUGCAGCUCAGUGGUAGAGCACAUGCUUUGUAUGUAUGAGGUCCCAGGCUCAAUCCCUGGCUCCUCCA
rnacentral:tRNA from 1 species